rnacentral:rRNA from 1 species
AAUAGCUGCAUCGUUUGACGUUAGCGACAGAAGAAGCACCGGCUAACUCCGUGCCAGCAGCCGCGGUAAUACGGAGGGUGCGAGCGUUAAUCGGAAUUACUGGGCGUAAAGCGCAUGCAGGUGGUUUGUUAAGUCAGAUGUGAAAGCCCGGGGCUCAACCUCGGAAUUGCAUUUGAAACUGGCAGACUAGAGUACUGUAGAGGGGGUAGAAUUUCAGGUGUAGCGGUGAAAUGCGUAGAGAUCUGAAGGAAUACCGGUGGCGAAGGCGGCCCCCUGGACAGAUACUGACACUCAGAUGCGAAAGCGUGGGGAGCAAACAGGAUUAGAUACCCUGGUAG